UGCAGUCGACGGUAACAUUUCUAGCUUGCUAGAAGAUGACGAGUGGCGGACGGGUGAGUAAUACUUAGGAAUAUGCCUUUGUGUGGGGGAUAACUAUUGGAAACGAUAGCUAAUACCGCAUAACGUCUUCGGACCAAAGGGGGCUUCGGCUCCCGCGCAAAGAGUAGCCUAAGCGAGAUUAGCUUGUUGGUGAGGUAAAGGCUCACCAAGGCGACGAUCUCUAGCUGUUCUGAGAGGAAGAUCAGCCACACUGGAACUGAGACACGGUCCAGACUCCUACGGGAGGCAGCAGUGGGGAAUAUUGCACAAUGGGGGAAACCCUGAUGCAGCCAUGCCGCGUGUGUGAAGAAGGCCUUCGGGUUGUAAAGCACUUUCAGUUGUGAGGAAAGGUUAACGGUUAAUACCCGUUAGCUGUGACGUUAGCAACAGAAGAAGGACCGGCUAACUCCGUGCCAGCAGCCGCGGUAAUACGGAGGGUCCGAGCGUUAAUCGGAAUUACUGGGCGUAAAGCGCACGCAGGCGGUUAUAUAAGCUAGAUGUGAAAGCCCCGGGCUCAACCUGGGAAUAGCAUUUAGAACUGUAUGACUAGAGUCUUGGAGAGGGGAGUGGAAUUCCAGGUGUAGCGGUG
rnacentral:rRNA from 1 species